ACGCACGCACACACGCGCACACACAAGCUGUAAUAAUGAGGUUUAAUUCUCUAUCCAAGCAGAACUUGAGCAAUAAUAAUAAGCCCAUCAGAACAAUUUGUUUACUGGCAUCGAACAGACGGCAAAAUAAGGUCCGAGAAAGGCUGGCUGCACGAAACAGUUUAAAGGGGGAAAAUGACUUCAAGCGAGUCAGAAAGAGGGAGAAAAUCUGAGGAAGACACAAGGCUUGGAUGCGUGUAGAAGGUGAUGGUGUUCCAGUAAAAGGACUCUGGUGGCGUUGUCCGAGUGACCAUCUGAAAUUACAAUGGCAGUGAAAAAAAUGACUUGCAACUGGCACCUGCAUUAAUGACCGUCAAUGCAUCCCCAUGGUCAUGUGACCCACAGAUCAAAGGAAAAACCAGUUGCAGCAGAUAUUAAAAUAUAUCCCUCUCUGAGUUGGAAUCCAUCAAUGCUUGAAUGCACCAGCUAAAAGAGAGAAGUGUGGGAAACAGACAGCCAUAAAUGGACUGAAAAAGCAUAUGUAAAUUCCAAGUGGAUUUCUUUUGCUCCAGGUAUCAAAAUGUACUCAGCCAUCUUUGUUUAAACUCCACCUUCUUUGUUUACUCUGUUUCUAGGAAGAUCAAGCACUUGGAUAGAACAGUGGAUAGAAAAAUGACAGAAUUUUCAGCAAUAAACUUUACAAGCAUAGUUAAACAGACACUGACAUUUUAAAUAUUAUACUCCCUGGCAGUGAUAUUCAGGGUGUAACAAAAUGGGCUGCAAAUGUAUCCGUAUAAUUAAUUGUUCACAUUUAAUUAUGAGUGAAAAAGUAUAGUUAUCCUAUCAGGGAGAUGGGCAGCAUAUGAAUUAAAUAAAUGAAUAAAUAAAUAAAUCACUUGCCUUGUG